AUGGGAACCUCAUCAGGCGCAAAUUUCCAUCAACAGUUUCCACAGGGGAUGCCGCCCCCACGGCACAAUGGGGGCACCCCAAACCUGCAGACUUCCCUCUCUUUGGCCUCGUCAGACCAAGUUGGUACGCCAGAUAUGCAGGAGCGUGCGUCAAAUUCUGACCCGGGUCAUGACUCUGCCACUGAGAGUGCCAGUUCAAGGGAGACCUGGCCUGUAGAGCCAAACAAAAGCAGUGGUGGUGAUGCUGCGACCACUAUUAGAAUAGUGGAUAAAGAUAAGGAGGUAGCCACCCAAGGUGUUGCUGAACGGCAAGUCAUUCGUAGGAUCCCAAGUACCGGUAGAGUGACUCUCCGGGAGGUUGCUCGGGAAAGGGUUGAUCUAGUCGCUGAGAAAAUGAAGGUUAUGCCAGAUGAGGUGUUGGAUGAAAUCAAGAGUGAACUUCGGUCAAUUCUUGAAGGAACUGGGGGUUCUCAUCAUGUUGAGGAGUUCUUGUACCUGCAGAAGGUCGUCCAGAAUAGGGUGGAUUUGACACCAACUACACUUUUGAUGCCACACCAUGUUCAGCUGGAGAUUCUUGUUGCCAUCAAGACUGGAAUCCAGGCAUUUUUGCAUCCAAGUGUUAAUUUACCCCUGAGUCAUCUUGCUGAGGUUUACUUGUACAAGAGGUGCCGGAACAUCGCCUGUAAGAGUGCUCUCCCUGCCGAAGAGUGUAGGUGCAAUAUAUGUAGCAACAGGAAUGGCUUUUGCAACCUUUGCAUGUGUGUGAUCUGCAAUAAGUUUGACUUUGAAGUCAAUACAUGCAGCUGGAUUGGGUGUGAUGUCUGCUCUCACUGGACUCACACUGAUUGUGCAAUCCGUGAUGAGCAGAUUGGGUCCGGACAGAAAAUUAAUAACGGAAUUGCCCAUCCGGAGAUGCUUUUUCGGUGCCAAGCCUGCCAAAGGACAUCUGAGCUGUUGGGGUGGGUUAGGGAUGUAUUCCAACAAUGUGCUCCUGGCUGGGACAGGGAUGCGUUGUUACGAGAACUUGAGUGUGUUUGUAAGAUUUUCCGUCUAAGCGAGGACUCAAAAGGGAGGAACUUGUUCAGGAGAUGUGAUGAUCUGAUCGAAAGACUAAGAAGUGGUACUGCUCAAUCCAUGAGUCCUAGAGCGCUGCUGCCGGCACUCCAAGAGCUUGAGAUGGAUUUUUCAAAGAUGUCCGAAAAUGAAGAAUUGGGGCGCCUGAUCACUCCACAUGAGGCCUGCAAUCGAAUUGCUGAGGUUGUCCAAGAGGCUGUCAGAAAGAUGGAGACCGUGGCUGAAGAGAAGAUGCAGAUGUUCAAGAAGGCUCGCCUCGCGGUGGAUUCCUGCGAGCGUGAGCUGGAGGAGAAGACACGGGAGGCACGGGAGCUCAAGGCGGAGCAGCUGCGUAAGCAGCAGCAGGUGGAGGAGCUGGAGAGCAUGAUCCGGCUGAAGAGUGCUGAGGCCGAGAUGUUCCAGCUGAAGGCCAACGAGGCCCGGCAGGAGGCAGAGCAGCUCCAGAGCAUUGCGUUGGCCAAGUCGGAGAAGGCGGAGCAGGACUAUGCGAGCAUGUACCUCAGGCGCCGCCUGGAGGAGGCCGAGGCAGAGAAGCAGUCAAUCUUUGAGAAGAUCAAGCUGCGGGAGAACCCGAGGCCGCUGGCAACGGUGCCUCCCCAGGCGAGCAGUAGUGCUGCCACCGCGGCCCUCACCCCUGGCGACUCAUCACAGAUGAUGAUGCUGUCCAAGAUCCAGGACCUGCUGAAGAACGUCCGCAGCAUGCCGUCUGGCAAGUCGGACGUGCGGCAGUCGAAAUAG
rnacentral:rRNA from 1 species